AUUGAACGCUGGCGGCAGGCCUAACACAUGCAAGUCGAACGAGUGGCGGACGGGUGAGUAAUGUAUGGGAAACUGCCUGAUGGAGGGGGAUCACUACUGGGCACUGUAGCUAAUACCGCAUACCAUCGGAUGUGCCCAGAUGGGAAUAGGUAGUAGGUGGGGUAACGGAUAACCUAGGCGCCGAUCCCUAGCUGGUCUGAGAGGAUGACCAGCCACACUGGAACUGAGACACGGUCCAGACUCCUACGGGAGGCAGCAGUGGGGAAUAUUGCACAAUGGGCGCAAGCCUGAUGCAGCCAUGCCGCGUGUAUGAAGAAGGCCUUCGGGUUGUAAAGUACUUUCAGCGGGGAGGCGUUACCCGCAGAAGAAGCACCGGCUAACUCCGUGCCAGCAGCCGCGGUAAUUC
rnacentral:rRNA from 1 species